rnacentral:tRNA from 1 species
CCUCCUUUUAAUUUUGAUUACUGCGGUUCCGCUCACUUUACCAAAUUAUUAUCCUUUGCGCUUCUUACAUUUUCUUUGCGCCUGUAACCAUCUACCUGUAACCCUACUGUAUAAAUCAUGGCCUUGACCUUGAAAAAUAUAACAAACAUUGAAAGCACGGAGUAAUGUUUUCAAUGUUUGUUUAGGAUCUAUAAUGGACCCUACAUCUAUAUCAAUGUACCUGAGCUAAUGAAUAAAAUGUUAACUCCUUAAAAAGCACAGUUAGCAAACAGCAUUGCAUCUGACCACAGGAGCCUGAAAUUAUAUCUAUAUAGGAGGGGUCAUUUUUAUAUUUAGCCAUUUUGGAGCAUUAUAGAUAGAAUUUCAGGCUCCUGUGAUCUGACAAGACUGCGCGCAUGCAUCUUGUGGUGUGUGUCUACCAACUGAGCUAAUCGGAUAUCAUAGACAUGUAAUAGGAGCGGAAAAAUGUGCAGCCCGAUACAGGACUCGAACCUGCGACCUUCUGCUUGCAAGUCAGAUGCUCAACCAACUGAGCUAAUCGGACAACCGAUAUCAUAGACAGAUUAUAUACAUUAUAUACACACUGCUGCAGGCUUUUUUAUCAUCCCAUACAGUAGAAUGCAACACAAGCUACAAAGCUCUUGUGCAACAAACCUGGUAUCCAGUAACAGGUACUUAUCUGUGCUUAUUUUACCUCCUGUAGUAACCCUUUCAUUGCCGAGUGCCGAGCAAGGUAGCUACCAGUACCUUUUUUCACGCCUUUGGUAUGACAUAGCCAGGGAUCGAACCCCAGACCUCCAACAUUCAAGGCAUACACUUUACCACUAUGCUCUAGAGGCAGUAUAUACAUAUGCAGCUCUGUAAAUUAUGUUGUAAUGCCGUUAUUUACUCUUGCCAGUGUCAUAUACAUGAUUGCAAAAUAAUUUAUAUUU